rnacentral:rRNA from 1 species
GACGAACGCUGGCGGCGUGCUUAACACAUGCAAGUCGAACGGAAAGGCCCUGCUUUUGUGGGGUGCUCGAGUGGCGAACGGGUGAGUAACACGUGAGUAACCUGCCCUUGACUUUGGGAUAACUUCAGGAAACUGGGGCUAAUACCGGAUAGGAGCUCCUGCUGCAUGGUGGGGGUUGGAAAGUUUCGGCGGUUGGGGAUGGACUCGCGGCUUAUCAGCUUGUUGGUGGGGUAGUUGCUUACCAAGGCUUUGACGGGUAGCCGGCCUGAGAGGGGGACCGGCCACAUUGGGACUGAGAUACGGCCCAGACUCCUACGGGAGGCAGCAGUGGGGAAUAUUGCACAAUGGGCGGAAGCCUGAUGCAGCAACGCCGCGUGCGGGAUGACGGCCUUCGGGUUGUAAACCGCUUUCGCCUGUGACGAAGCGUGAGUGACGGUAAUGGGUAAAGAAGCACCGGCUAACUACGUG